UGUCUACCUAUAGAGACUUACUUUGCUCG
rnacentral:piRNA from 1 species